AGCUCCAAACUACCGUAUUUUUCGCACGAUUGGACGCACCGGACCAUAGGACGCACCUAGUUUUUUGGGGGGGAAAUAAAGAGAAAAAAUUUCCCCUUUAUUUCCCCCCCAAAAGCAGGUCAGGGAAACCGAACCAGGUCGAGGAACAGCGGGAUAGUGGCGCUGCGCCUCCCUGCUGUCCCCCGAGCUUGUGGGGCUGGCUGAUGUCUGCCUGGCGCAUGGGGCGCUCUGCUUCAGCGGGCCCCACCCGCCAGGCAGCAGGCUGCUAUCCGCAGUGUCAGGAGCCCUGUGGGGAACUCCUGCAGGGCUCCCCGCGCUGCGGAUGUCUGCCUGGCACGAGGGGCGCUCUGCUUCAGGGCGUCCCUCGUGCCGGGCGGCAGGCUGCUAUCCGCAGCGUGGGGAGCCCUGCGGGGAACUCCUGCAGGGCUCCCCACGCUGCGGAUGUCUGCCUGGCGCAAGGGGCGCUCUGCUUCAGGGGCGCCCGACACUCCGGGAAGCAGGCUGCUAUCCGCAGCCUAGACACGGCUAGCGGAGCACUAAUCCCGAAGCUUGGGGCGUGCAGAGCUCAGCGCGCCCCAAGCUUCUGGGUGCCGGCAAGCCGUGGGAGAGCUGGGUCUCCCACGGCUAGCGGAUAGCUUCCUGAAGCCUGGAGAGCGAGAGGGGUCGGUGCGCACCGACCCCUCUCACUCUCCAGGCUUCAGCGAAAGCCUGCAUUCGCUCCAUAGGACGCACACACAUUUUCCCUUGUUUUUUAGGAGGGAAAAAG